rnacentral:rRNA from 1 species
CCUACGGGUGGCAGCAGUGAGGAAUAUUGGUCAAUGGCCGGAAGUCUGAACCAGCCAAGUCGCGUGAGGGAUGAAUGCCCUAUGGGUCGUAAACCUCUUUUGUCGGGGAAUAAAAUGUUCCACGUGUGGGCUUCUGUAGGUACCAUGUGAAUAAGGAUCGGCUAACUCCGUGCCAGGAGCCGCGGUAAUACGGAGGAUUCGAGCGUUAUCCGGAUUUGUUGGGUUUAAAGGGUGCGGCGGCGGGUCGUUAAGGCAGUGGUGAAAGUUUGCGGCUCAAACGCCAAAUUGCGGUUGAAACUGGGAGUCUUGAGUAGAGUAGAGGUAGGCGGAAUGCGUGGUGUAGCGGUGAAAUGCAUAGAUAUCACGCAGAACCCCGAUUGCGAAGGCAGCGUACCGGGCUGCAACUGACACUGAGGCACGAAAGUGCGGGGAUCAAACAGGAUUAGAUACCCGGGUAGUC